AUUGAACGCUGGCGGCAGGCCUAACACAUGCAAGUCGAACGAGUGGCGGACGGGUGAGUAACGCCUGGGAAACUGCCUGAUGGAGGGGGAUAACUACUGGAAACGGUCGCUAAUACCGCAUACCAUCGGAUGUGCCCAGAUGGGAUUAGAUAGUAGGUGGGGUAACGGCUCACCUAGGCGACGAUCCCUAGCUGGUCUGAGGGGAUGACCAGCAACACUGGAACUGAGACACGGUCCAGAUCCCUACGGGAGGCGGCAGUGGGGAAUAUUGCACAAUGGGCGCAAUCCUGAUGCAGCCAUGCCGCGUGUAUGAAGAAGGCCUUCGGGUUUUAAAGUACUUUCAGCGGGAAGGCGUUACCCACAGAAGAAGCACCGGCUAACUCCGUGCCAGCAGCCGCGGUAAUAC
rnacentral:rRNA from 1 species